UUCUCUGCCUAUUGAUUCAGGGUCAUGAGGAUCUCGAAAUGGUCAAGGGGCAGUUCCAACUUCCAAUUCCUAAGAUGUAUUACCGCAUUCUCUGGUAGAACCGUUCCUCUCCUAGAAACAGGGUGCUCCAGACUGCCAAGUCCAAGAUCAGACACAGGUGGCAGCAAACAUUCCUCCAGUGAGAAAGGCCACUCCUCGUUAUGUUUUGGUUCCCAACCUGUGCAAUCUGGAAGACAGCACACUUGGCCAUUAGUAUAAAGCAUAUAUUGCCUCCUGCUUUGUAUUUCUCCGCCAUGUCAUGCUGGGAUUAAGCUCCAGUUACGGGCCAUGAAGAAUGAUGAGGGUGAGGUCUCAGGAACGUAGGGAUCAGCUUCUGGAAGAACUCCUCCUGGCUCGACCACUGACAGCUCUUAUGCAGAGAAGAAGAAACCAGGUGUCUCCACGAGUAUUGUUGCCAUCGGGCCAAAUGCCAAAGCCACUUGAUGUGCCAAUUGGCCUUUCAACCUGCACUGCAUCCCAUGCUACUGCUAAUGAUCAUCUGAGUCACAGGGACACUACCAGAUGCCAUGAACUCAUCCUCUGUGCCUCAGCCAGGAGACUGUCCGGGCACUGCUCAAA